GACGAACGCUGGCGGCAUGCCUAAUACAUGCAAGUCGAGCGAACGGAUGAAGUGCUUGCACCUCUGACGUUAGCGGCGAACGGGUGAGUAACACGUAAGGAAUCUACCUAUAAGCGGGGGAUAACAUUCGGAAACGGGUGCUAAUACCGCAUAAUAUCUUCUUCCGCAUGGAAGAAGAUUGAAAGACGGCUCUGCUGUCACUUAUAGAUGACCUUGCGGUGCAUUAGUUAGUUGGUGGGGUAACGGCCUACCAAGACGAUGAUGCAUAGCCGACCUGGGAGGGUGAUCGGCCAAAUUGGGACUGAGCAACGGCCCAAACUCCUACGGGAGGCAGCAGUAGGGAAUCUUCCGCAAUGGGCGAAAGCCUGACGGAGCAAUGCCGCGUGAGUGAAGAAGGCCUUCGGGUCGUAAAACUCUGUUAUAAGAGAAGAACAAAUUGUAGAGUAACUGCUACAGUCUUGACGGUAUCUUAUCAGAAAGCCACGGCUAACUACGUGCCAGCAGCCGCCGUAA
rnacentral:rRNA from 1 species